rnacentral:lncRNA from 1 species
CUAGUGAGAAGAGGCAGACAGAAACAAAAUAAUGCAGGCUAAACCCAGCUGCCAUAAUGAGAAUAAACUCCAGGGAACGAGGGCAGAAUGCAGAGGCCAGCCAGAAGUCUAUUUCAACAGUCCGGGAGAGAUGACAAUGGCACAGAUACCAGGAGGCCCUUCACAAACCUUCCUGGAUGCACAGAGCCUUCUCCCUGCUUGAAUGGAGACAAAGAGAAAACACAUCAAACGAUCUGGCCACAUUAAAAGGGGAAUGGCAGGCUGUAUGACAGGAAGAUAAACCCUGUACUGAAAUUUCCAAAGCCUGUAAACAGCUGAGCAUAAUCAUGUUUCAACUUGGUGGUAUAUUACUUUGGACAGAGUGGUUAUGCCAUAAAAAGCUCAAAGCGUGAAGAUGGGGUUCUAUUUUUUCCAUUAAUUGCUGCAGCGUUUCAGAUUAAUUCCAGUGACGUGACAGCCCAAAAAAGCAAUGGUUUAAACACCAAUAAAUUUUAUUUUUCUCUUAA